rnacentral:rRNA from 1 species
GACGAACGCUGGCGGCGUGCUUAACACAUGCAAGUCGAACGGAAAGGCCCUGCUUUUGUGGGGUGCUCGAGUGGCGAACGGGUGAGUAACACGUGAGUAACCUGCCCUUGACUUUGGGAUAACUUCAGGAAACUGGGGCUAAUACCGGAUAGGAGCUCCUGCUGCAUGGUGGGGGUUGGAAAGUUUCGGCGGUUGGGGAUGGACUCGCGGCUUAUCAGCUUGUUGGUGGGGUAGUGGCUUACCAAGGCUUUGACGGGUAGCCGGCCUGCGAGGGUGACAGGCCACAUUGGGACGGAGAUACGGCCCAGACUCCUACGGGAGGCAGCGGUGGGGAAUAGUGCACAAGGGGCGGAAGCCUGAUGUAGCAACGCCGCGUGCGGGAUGACGGCCUGCGGGUUGGAAACCGCAUUCGCCUGUGACGAAGCGUGAGUGACGGUAAUGGGUAAAGAAGCACCGGCUAACUACGUG